UACGAAGGGGGCUAGCGUUGCUCGGAAUGACUGGGCGUAAAGGGCGCGUAGGCGGUGGACACAGUCAGGCGUGAAAUUCCUGGGCCCAACCUGGGGGCUGCGUUUGAUACGUGUUUGCUAGAGUGGGGAAGAGGGUCGUGGAAUUCCCAGUGUAGAGGUGAAAUUCGUAGAUAUUGGGAAGAACACCGGUGGCGAAGGCGGCGACCUGGUCCUUGACUGACGCUGAGGCGCGAAAGCGUGGGGAGCAAACAGG
rnacentral:rRNA from 1 species